AUCUUUAACUGUUCUUUCUCUACUUCCUCCUCUGCUGUUUCAGGCCGCCUCAAAACCUCCGCCACCACUGAUCAUGGGUUCAGAUGUUAACGAUCACCACCAACAGCAACAGGAUACUAGCAUGAUGGUGUUUUCUGUCAAGUACUUAUUUCUGGUUUUUAAUCACAUUUUCGGAUGAGAAGGCCGACAGAUACUGAACAAGGGGGGAAUGACUAAUGACGCGACGCCAUGGGAGUGAAAGGAGAAGUAACCUCAUGCUUCAAUUCUGUUAAAAGACAAAGUUAUUUCUGUAUCUCCUUUGAAGAGUGUAUUGAAUCUGCAAUAAUUUACGAUCAGAACAUCACUUUGAGCACAAGGAGCUUUCCUUUAAACGCCCAUCUGAUUGGAAAUACGGCGUCAUUAUCAAUUGUACUACAAUUUUACUACAGGGAGGGGCAAGACAAAUAUACAUAAUACUCAAGCGUGUUGUCAAGAACAACCAUGAAAGUCCUUGUAGAUGUUGAUCAUGGGUGGUGAUAUUGUUGCUAGUUAUUCGAAGACUGAAAAACUCCCUACACCAGAGAUGAUUCAACAACCUUUACUAUUCACACCUCGUUAUGACCAAGAGUAAAAAAUCCUAAUCACGCAGCAGCAGCCAAUGUAUGAAAGACGGCCAAGGGUGGCCUCUUGGUGUACAAUCCUAGUGCAGCCAAGGUACAAAUGGCGCUUGUUCAGGAAUCAUUGAAAGAAGUUGACGAAAAGUCAGAAUCUGAGAUUACUGUUUCAGAACGAUUAUGGAUAAACUGUAUGCACUGUACUUUAGGUAUAAGUUAGCAGCAAAUCAAUGUGUUGAUGAUUCUGAUAAGGCUGUGUUCUUACUGUGUGGAGUGAUAAUGUGAAGCAAGAACUGGAAAGGCACAACUCUUUCGUCCAAAAACUGGGUUUAGACCCUGCAAAAGAGACCACUCUUCAAGGACUCAACAGUGCCCUUGUAGAGCUGCCAUCUUCUGAGAGACGAGCACGGUUUCAAGAAUAUUUGAUUCUGGUGGGUGUACUGAAGGGCAUAAGUUGAAAGGACACAAAGCAAGCUGGUGCAUUUAUCAAUGUAAUGCCAUGUUGGAGUGAGGAUCAAACUAGGUCAGCUCUUUGAGCGAAGACAGUUGCAAUACCAAUGCAGCCGUGUUCCAAAGGAGAUUAUAGUAGAAGUGUUGAGUUCUUUGGCGAGUGCAGUGGACAUAUGCAUCUUAUGCUGAUGCUCAAGGACGACUUUCCCCGUUUUGACAUUUGGGAGAUGCGAAUGGACUAUAUAUUCUGGAUGGAAUGUCAAGUAUUGGGUAGACCUUAGUCCCUUAACAACUGUAUAUCCGGGACUUCUACUAGAAAGAGCUCAAUUCUUCGGUCGUUUUGCGUUGGAUGUACUGCUUAUUGAGGAAGGCGAAGAUUCAUCAAGGUUAAUAUUAUGGAUAUUGGAGGACAAGGUGAUAUCCUUUGACCUUGAUAAUAAGAGUUUUAAGGAAAUGUAUGAUGUUAAUCCAGUUGCUCGUGUACAGGGAUUUCAACGUAUCGAAGCACUCUCUCGUGUUUGAAUAUUUCCUUCAAAGCAGCCAAAAGAAAGAAGAAGAAAGAAAUCCAGAGAUCUGAGGGUGAAGUAUGUCAGGAAGAGAAAAGGUGAUUAGGUAAAGGAGCAAGGAGACACAGGAACGUUUCGAGACAUAAGCUUUGUCAUUUGGUGGUUUUGUAAAGGAAAAGUUCCAAUUAAGGUUGGGAAUAUAUUUUCUUUUAGAUUUUUUAUGAAGUAAUUCGAAGCUGUCAUAAGCUGUCAUUUCCAGUUGCAGAAGGGAAACUGCAGAAUUUUGGUUAACAUUACAUUGUUUGGUGAAAUUGAUUUGAUCAGUUAACUUCGGUUUUCCUUCUGAAGUUCUUUGUUGAGUCAAAUUUUGUUCAUCAAAAUCUCUCUUGUUGCUGAAAUCAC